rnacentral:snRNA from 1 species
GUGCUCGCUUUGCAGUACAAACACUAAAACUGGAACAAUAAAGAGAAGAUUAGCAUGGCUCCUGCACAAGAAUGACAGGCAAAUUUAUGAAGCAUUCCUUAUUUUU